CGGGAAUAUGGUGGGUGGUGAAUGGUGAUGACUUAAGAUUAGGUUUUUGGGAUUAGGAUUUAGGUGAGAUUUUGACAUUUAACAUUUUCAGUAUAUUUCGUCUUAAAAAACAUUUUCAGUAUAUUUGAUUUCUUAGUUUUUUUUUUUUUUUUUUUUUUUUUUUUUUUGUAGGUAGGAUCCAGUUUCUUAAAAUUUAUUGUUGAUUAAUUUAACAUGUGUUAGCUACGUGUCCGUUUCGGACAAGUUAGAUUGAUUUUGUCAUGUGUAAUUGAUUGCAGAACAAAUUUUCUUGACGUUUUAAUUACAAAAUCUUGUAACGUGUAUAAAUUUGAUGUAACUUUUUGAAGUUUUUAAUUUUAAAA
rnacentral:lncRNA from 1 species